AAAAAGUCCUCCACCCCCCACCUUAUCCUGUGGUCAAGCACCAUCUCCCACUCCCGCACGACCUCCACCUCCCUUCCCGCAUCGUCGGGCAAACCCCCACCCCUGUGCCGCCGGCCCGCCCCCCUCCCGCGCCAUAGCGCCGCCUCCCUCCUCCGUCGCGUCGCCUCCCUCCCCGCACUUCCUCUUCCUCCCGGCCGGGGUCACCACGCCUCCACUUCCUCCCAGCCGACGCCGCCGCGCCUCCUCUUCCACCCUGAAUCGCCGCCACCCCCUGGAUCCACUUCCUUCUUCCCCGCCCACCGACCGCCCCACCCUCCUCACCUUCUCCGGCGCCUGCUAGCCUCCCCUACCCCUCCGCCAACCUCAUCCGCUAGAUCUAGCAGCCCUUGCCCCCACCCUCUGUCGUCGCGGUGACACCUCCUCUGCUACUCUGGUCGGAUCCGCCAACGCCCCUGACUACCACUGCAUCGCCGGAUUCCGAUGCCGUCCUGGACAACAGCCACUUCUCCCUCCUCCCCUUCAUCCCCGGGCCGCCGGAUCCGCGUCUCCGUCUAUGUCGGGCCCUGCGUCAGCUAGCCGCCAGAUCCGCCUCGCCGCCCUCCACCGACCACCAUCCACCGAAUCCGGCUUGCAGUUCACCAGUUUCCGCUAGGAGGACCACGACGACUCUUGAUGCAGUCCUCAACCCUCCCUGGUGGUCGCUGCUGCACGGCUUUCUUUGAUGCGGUUCAUGUGAAUUACAGUGCGGUUUGGAGCAUGUUAGCAUGCAGUGCAAAAUGGUGAAUUUUGUGUUUGAGGAGUUUAUGUAUAAAAAUUGCAGGGGCUAAUCUGGAAGAAUUUUGUGGGGAGACAUGUCUUCAGAAUGCAGUUUGGAGUAUCUGCACAUGCAGUGCAAACGUUGCUUUUUGUGUUUGCGUAUUUUUUUGUAUAAAGAUUACAGGGACUCGUUUGAUUGCAGCGAAACAUGACAUGAGCAUGCAGUUUCGACCAUGUGGACAUGCAGUGCAAAAAUGGUGUUUUCCAUGUUUGAUGAUUUUAUGUAUAAAAGUUAUCUGGACUCA